rnacentral:lncRNA from 1 species
CAUUCUUUUAAUUAUUUAACCAAUCAAACCUAUCAAAGAAGAUAAGUAUAUGUUCCUGUAUAUGAUACUAUAAGGUAGGUAAAUAUUGCACCUUAUUUAGGGUCUAGAAACCCUAAAAAACCACAGGCAACAAUCUAAUAACCUAUCGUACCUUAUCAGUCCUAACUGACUAGCUUACCUUUUUUGGACUACAUCAGUUGAACACCUUUUUAGCACAUGUUUUGGCAUUUAAAAUUCAUUCUAAUUAAGUAUGCCAAUAAAUAUGUAAUAAGUAAAAAUAGAAAAUAUAUUUUACUUACAUGUCCCAACUCGGUCUCUUCCGCAACAAGAAGGGAAAGAGGUACAUAGUGCGAGAGCCCAAUCCCAUAGGCAUAGGAGAGGUGCCAACCUUAUUAAAGAAGAGUGGAUAUAUCUACAAACUAUGCGUUGACUGACUCUUGAAUGACUCAUUCAAUGGAUAAGAUAAUUUUCCUCUAGUCUACGAAUAAGAGCAAAGAACUCAAAGGUCUACAAGUGUCUUCAAUAUGAUAUACCUUAAGGUGCCUAGAAAUUGGCCUCAAUAGCCACUUUCUAUAUCAAGGCCCCAUGACAAAACGCAAAGUUAUGAGCCCCAACAUGACCCCCAGCCUGGAAACAAGCGACAGAGGAGGUCCCAACCACCUUGUCAUCAAGUUGAUGAGGAUGAUUCAUAUGGGCAUGUAGGUCUUAUAAACCUAAUGAUGAUACCAAUCUUCCUUUUUCCCAGGAUCUCUAGAGCACCCAUGUUACAAGCAUUUUGUACCCUUAAGAAUACUCUUGUAUGAGGAAAGAUGAGACCUAGAAGAAUACCUCAACACUCAUAUGAGUUUGAUAGGAGCUUCUCUAGCCUUGAAAUGUAGAACCUUCCAUCUUCCCCUUCAUGGAGUAGCAAAGAGAUGGUAUGGUAAGCUCUAGCUGAGAAGUGUCACAAGUUGGCCAGACCUUAAGAGAAAAUUCUUGAAUAAAUUCUAAAACAAAAGUAAUAAAGAGGCCCCAAUCCAAUACUUGCGAGACAUAAAGAAGACAACUAGAGAAAUGUUGAAGAUAUCUCUAGCCCAUUUUAUUGAUGAGGUGAUAUAUUGCAAGGUCUUUAACGUGGAAAUAAUAUCUACCAUGAAAUGAGGUGUCAAAAUGAAAACCUUAUUUUGGACGGAUGUUUGUAAUAAAAAUGCAACCACCUAUGACUAGCUAGUAAAGAUGAUGAGGGAUGAAAUUGUCAAUAGAGAGAUAAUAGAUCAUCGCAAUAGGAUAGUAAGUGGACUUUUGUCCCUUAAAGAAAAAGAGGUAGAGGCCCAUCUUUCAUUCGAUAAACUAAAGUUCGACCUAAGCAAGGUAUUGUACUGUUCUCAUAUCAGGUCAAACUUAUGGCUCCGCUACAAGCUAAAUGUGAUAACAUCCAUAGCCUAUGAUAAAACUGUACCAAUCGGCUAUGGAAUCAAACGGCU